UUUUUUUUUUUUUUUUUUCAUUUCAAAAAGCGACAUCUUCAUGCUGCUCAUUUUGGUGAAAUUUGCUUAAUUUCUGUAUCGGUGAUGAAGAGAACAAGUCAUGAAUAUGAGUCCGCCAGCCAAUGAAUAUGAUUCCGCCAGCCUUUUCCUUUUUUCCUUUUUUGUCGACUUAUGAAUAUGAGUCAGGUUUUUUUUUCAAUAAAGAUAAAUAAUAAAACAAAAUAAAAGACACAAAAAUUUACAUUUGUCAAAUUAACCUACAUUCACGGGCGGAGAAGGAGCAAAUCUUUCAUUAUGAAGAAGAUAUAUAAAAGUCUUAGAAAAGUGGUUUUUAAGUCCAAAGGACACCUAAUACCAAAAUACAAUAGAGUUUAAAAGAUUUAACUAAACAAAAGGUUUAAUGACUCAAAAGUCCAAAUAACCUACUAAUACUCUCUUGGUUCGGUGCGUUUAAUUUCAUCAUACGAGUCUUUUAUUUAUAGGAAACAAAGGAAUGCUUUUCUUAAACUUCUGCCGAUGUGGGAUAAGGGAGAAACUCCCUUAUGCAUUAUCGAUGUGGGACACACUACAUCAACAAAUUUGUUAUUACCGAUGUGGAGCAAUUUUAUUAUUAUCGAUAUUGGGGACACACCAAGGUGGAGAUUUUUUGAUGUGGCGUGUCCCACAUCGGUAGUGCAUAAGGGAGGUUUUCCCUUAUUCCACAUCGGCAGAAGUUUAAGGAAAGCCUUCUUUUGUGUCCUAUAAAUAAAGGGCUCUUAUGAUGGAGUUAAGCACACUAAACCAAGAGAGCAUUAGUGGGUUAUUUGGAUCUUUGGGUCAUUAAAUCUUUUGUUUAAUUAAAUCUUUUGAACUCUCUUGUGUUUUAGUAUUAGGUGUCUUUUGGGUUUAAGAACCACUUUCCUAAGGAUUUUGUAUAUCUUCUUCAUAGUGAAAGAUUUGCUCUUCCUCCGUCCGUGGACGUAGGUCAAUUUGACCGAACCACGUAAAUUUCUGUGUUUUUUAUUUUGCUUUGUUAUUUGUUUUUAUUGAGUUGCCACAACCCUUUUAUAUGGUCGGUUUUACCGCCUAAGUAUUAUAUGACUGGUAUCUAUCGCCUAAUUAUUAUAUGGUCGGUUAUACUGCCUAUUUUGUUCUAAUUUUAGUUUGCUAAUUCUUGAGCCAGUCCUAACAAACUGAUGCAGACUGGUUGUCGGGCUCUGUCAGCUCGGCAGCCUGUUAUAUUUAAAAAAAAAAAAAAAUUGUGUUAGGAGUCCGGCACCAAUGGAUUGAUAUCACAUUUCUGUCAAAACAAUAAGUGUUCGACUUUUCUUUUUUUUUUUGUCAAUAUUCUAAGUAAUUAGCCCUAGUUGUGCCUUAUUAGCACGACGGGCAUGGAGGGAGAAAAGUCUGUGCUAGAAUCAUAGUUGAUGGAAUUUUUGUUUAAAUACCAUUAUAUUCUAAGGAAUUAGUCUCAUUUAAUUUAUUUAUUUUAAAAAGUGCCUGCUGUGAUAGACAGGUGGUCAUACAAUUGUUUUUAGUGGUAAGGACCAAAAUGUAAAUAAUGGUGAACCUUUUUUGAGCGCGGCCAAGAAGCGGUACCGCGUGGUUAAUGGAUACGAUGGGCACUUAUUUACAUUUUGAUCCCUCCCGUCUAACAGGCAUGUUUGGGCACUAAAUACAACAGGCAUGUUUGGGCACUUUUGAAAAAAUAAAUAAAUCAAAUGGUCCGCUAUGUCUAAUUGAAGAAAGCUCCACCUGUAGGAGAAUACCACAUACAUGGCCCGCUAAAUAGUUUGUGGACUGUCUUACAGUACGUGGGAUCCACAUAUUGUGAGCCUUGCAAGACUAAAAAAGAGUUGAGAUCUGGUUAUUAUUUUAAAAUAUAUAUAUAUCUAUAUAUAUAUAUAUACAUGAAGGGACGAAAAGCAUAGCAGUUCUUAGAUUAUUUUAAAAAAUAAAAAUUGCUUGUUGUGUCUUAUCAGCAUGGCGGUAUUUCUUAUUGGGUUGUUGUGCUUGGUCACCAUGGCAACCAAGAAUAAUUUAAAGAAAAAAUGUAGCAGUUGGACUAAUUGUUGAUCAAUGGCUAAAUCAAUCGUUAGUACCAACGGCUAAUAUAUUAUGGGCUUGGGGGCAAUUUUUAAAAAAUUAUUCUUGGCUGUUGUACUUGUAGCACAGUGACCCAUCAACAAAUAAAAAAAAAAGAAAAGAAAUAGUCUGUCUUAUUGAUAAGGCACGGUAGGACUAAUUAUUCAUAAUAUUGUCAAAAAAAUCGGACACUUAUGGCUCUGACAAUGAUUUAGUAUUAAAUUAUUACUGUCGGACUGUGUCAAUCCUGCAGUAAAAGCAAAAAAAAACUUUUUAAACAGCAUUGGCACAGUUCACACUUCACAGUCAAUCAAAAAAAUUUUUUUUUUAAAAUAAAUUGACUGUUAGCCCGGUAGCAGCGGCAAAAAGUCAAAAAAAAAAAGAAAACUACCGUCUAAUCAAGUCAGGAGGUUUCACUAAUGGGUCGUCGUCCUUCUGUCAUUAAAUGGUGCCAUUUGAAGCUUUUGAUUCUCAUCUGGCUCUGCUUUCUACCUCAAAAAGAUUCGAUUUUUGGCUCGGAUUCGGAUGCAUCAGCUCUCCUGGAGUCCAAGGCCUUAGUUAUGGACCCCUCUGGACUGCUCUCCAGCUGGGAUUCAAGCAAAGCUUCUGAUCACUGCUCCUGGUCCGGUGUCGCUUGCGACUCCACUUCUUGCGUAGUGGCUUUAAAUAUCGGCGGCGGCGGCGGAGGUGGAGGUAAUUCGGGCUCGGUUUCUUGUGCUAGAAUUUCUCAAUUUCCACUGUAUGGGUCUGGAAUUAGAAGGGCUUGCUCAAAUACUAAUGUUAAAAUUUCUGGUAAAUUGCCACUUGUCGUGUCCAAAUUGUCCGAACUUCAGGUCUUGUCACUGCCAUUCAACAAAUUGAGUGGUGAAAUUCCUGGUCUGGAUAAACUGGAAGUUCUUGAUCUUGAGGGCAAUUAUUAACUGGGCCUUUGUCGCUUCAGUUUAAGGGUUUGAGGAACUUGAGGGUUCUGAAUUUGGGUUUAAUGGGAUCGUAGGGGGGAUCCCAGAUUCGUUCUCAAAUUGUUUGGAGGUGGCUUUUUUUUUAACUUUUUGCAGCUGCUGCCGGACUAUGCGAUUUAAAAAAAAAAAAAACUUUUGACUGACUGCUGGGUUGUGUCAGUGCUGUUUUUUUUUUCAAAAAUUUUUUUUUGCUUUUGCUACUGGUUGACACAGUCCAUUAAUGAUAAGAAAUUUAACCUACUGCACUUAUACAAGAAAUUAAGAAAUAAAAGCUCCUUAGGUUGUAGUAUCCCUAACUACUCAUGCAAGUGUUAUAUUUGGAUCAUUGAGUACUACAUCUAGGCUAAUUAUGGUGUAAUUUCCUUAUGCAUUUGAAUCCUACUUUCGUAGUGAAUCAAUUAUACUUAUAACUAAUCCAUACAUAUUCUCAUGGUUAUGAAAUUAGCUACAAGUUCAUUUCUUCAGUGAAAUUACAUGAAAUGAAUCACUAAAAAUCACAUAGGUGCACCUCUACUUUCGUGAGUGUACUCCCUAUGUUUAGCACUUCUUGAACUAAUGUUAAAUCUCAAUUUUCAUUGCAGAAAUAACACCUUAGAUAAUCACAAUUAAUGGUAUCAGAUUAAUCAUGAUUUAAAGAGCCAAAGUACUAAAUAAUUUGCUCAAAUCAUAGCAGUCAAAUAGCCAAAUAAUAAGCACUAACAAUCAUAGAAAGUUCAACCAAACCCAAGGUAUAAACUUUAAAGACACAUAUUAAAUAUAAAAUCCAAAACUUGUAUAUUAGCUAAACUUGGAAUCAAGUACAAAAGAUAAAGAGUUGGAAAGGAAUGUAACCCAUGUCACUUGAGCUCAUCAUCUUGCCUUCUUCAUCUCUAUCUUAAUCCUAGUCUAGCAAUAUAAAAGAGUGGAUGAACUAUACUAGCUAAACUAUCCUACACUAAGAAAAUGGAAGAACUACAUUUCUGCACUCUUCAAGAUUCUCCCGUAUGAUCCUCUGAAAAUUUUUUUAGAUCUCCCAAAUGUCUCUGCAUAUAAGCUGAUGAAAAGCUCCUCUCUAGUCCAAAUUUGUUGAUCUAAGGAUUCUCAAAUCUGAAAUUGUUAAGAUAGUCAAUAACAAAUGUUUUUGACUUGAAAAUAAGCCAUCUUUAUUGCCCUCUUGUCUUCUGAGGCAUGUGCACCGAAUUCUCUUGCAGAUUGUAGUUGGAAAGUAGUUUGAACACAAGAGAAUUGACUGAGCAAAUUGCAGAAUUGCGGCCAGAAAACGCGCCUACACAAAACGCGGUUACAAGUCACGUUUUGUGUACUCGCGUAUUCACUUUGGCCUUACUUCAUCUGCGAUUUUCUCUAUCAUAAAGGCCGAACUGGCUUUUGUGGAAAACACAAAAGUUGUAGCCCUUUGAGUUAGCUUUCCAAUGCUUCAAGAAUAAUCCAAAUCUGAGCUUUGUAGCCUGAGAUAUGAUCGAAAUACUAAACACUGGUCAGAGCCCUGUUUUCCACUUUGGACAGCUGAGUUGAAUUUCGGUAUUUCAACUUUUGGACUAUGAAAACGGCUGAAUUGGACUUUUAUGUCUUCAUACCAAAUGUAGAUAUAUCUCUUAGCUUCAAAUUGGUAUAAAGAUCACCUUGAUCCGAUCUGUGUAGCUCCAGAUAUAGUCAAAAUACCAAAAUGUAUCAGAGUUGUCAAACCUGACUUUUCUUGAUUCAAAUUGCAUUUUUCCUUUUACACUUCAUAUUUUAUUUUCACCACUUUAAUCCAUCUUCAAUCAUCCAAAUAUCUUCUCAAUGCACUUCAUUUGAUGAUUGAAUCAUUAAACCUACAAAAUAUGAAGUUUUUACCAUAAAAAUCCAUAAAAUGUAAUGUUUAGCCACUUUAAUAUAAAAUGUAAUUUUUUACCAAAACCUUAGUUAUUUUACUUAUAAAACUAAAUAAUUAAACCAAAAUUAACUAGUAAAACACACUAAAAAAUACGUAAAAUAUAUUCUUAUCAAAUACCCCCACACUUGAACCAUUGCUUGUCCUCAAGCAAUAAGAAAUACAAAACAACAAUGAUCCAAAAUUUGAAAAUAAACAUAUGUAGCAUUUGAACUUCAUUUCCUCAAAACAAAGUAAAUAACCAUUAUGCAAUUAUUCAAUUAAGUUCAAGUACUCAUAAUAUCAAGUAAAGGAGAGCCAAUUAUACCGUAAUUAUAACAAGUUUAAUUCAAUUUUUCAUCCUUAACCAAUUUCAUACGCAAGUAACUCAUAUGGUCAAUAAUAUGCUUCCUAAACUCAUGAUCAUUUCUUAUUCAAAUUUAAAAAGGGAUUUAUUUAUAUAAUAUAGCUAAAUAUUACUUAAGUUGUGAAAGUAUCUUUUUACGCGAGGAUCGACAUUUUUAGAUGAAGAUCACCGAUUACUUAACACUUCACAUACUUAAGAUACUUUGCAUACUCUUAAUUCAAGUACCGUUUUACGCGAAAGUCGACAUUUUUAGAUGAAAACACCCGGUUACUAAGUACAAGAAUCAUUGGAGUAGAACAAAUCUUAUUCUCUUUUUUUUUUCUUCAUUUUUUCAUUUUUCAUUUUUUUCAUUUUUUUCAUUUUUUUUAUUUUUUAAUAAAGAUAAUAACAUUCCCUUGAAAGCAUAAUCAUGAGAAGAGUAUUGCAAUUAUUGACCAUAUUUAUCACUUAACUUAUAAAAUCAAAUAAAGCGAAGAAAUUUCAUCAAAUAUGCAAAAAAAAUAUUGGCAUAAUUUUCUCCACUUUAAAAGAUAUACUUUUCUACAAAUGCAAAAAUUAUAAUCAGAUAAUAGUCAUUUCCAAGUUGAGUGAGAAAAGAAAUUUCCAAAUCACAUAUAUUUAUCUCAAAUGUAGAAGAAAUUUGAACUUCUAAUGGUAUGAAACUUGUUACCCCUUUGGGUAAAAUUGAAAAAAUUUGAAACUUUUUGGGGCAAGUUUGCAAAUUUGGACAGGAUUUAACACAAGUCCAAUAUUUACAACUAAUAAGUCAAUCACAUACAAUGUAUAUAAUCUCAAUUCUUCCCCCCACACUUAACAUACACAUUGUCCUCAAUGUGUAAAAAGUAAAAUCAAGAUAAAGAAAAGCAAUACUCCCCUAUUGUUGUGAUUGAAUAUGAAGCUUCAAGGUACAUUGUGCGCCUGUCUUCAUCACUUCAAGAGUUCCAUUUGAUAACCAUUAGUGAUAUAAAUCUAAAAAUGGAAAAUGAGAAACAAAAGUGAUAACAAAGGUUUAAUAAAACUAAACGGCGAUUCGUAACUUCAAUCCUUUGUUUUGAUGGUGUACCUAUAGAAAAUCCACAAUAAGCCACUCAAGGUACAAGAAAAUAUACGAGGAAAAGAAAAGAACCAAAGAUCCUGCAUUUUUUUUUUUUUUUUUAAAAUGUGCUCAGAAAACGUGGCUUAACAAAACGUGCCAUAAAGCUGCGUUUUUUAAGUCGCGUUUCCUUCACUAAUCUUGCAGGAUUGAAAACACGGUUCUUUGAGAAAACGCGACUUGGAGGCGCGUUUUCUAAGCCGCGUUUUUAGUUUGAUCCAGGCUUGAAAACGCGACUGCCAUCAAAACGCGACUUGAAGUCGCGUUUUAAGGGCGCGUUUCCUGUUCUGCAGGUGCAGAAUUACAUCCCAACAAGCUAAAAAAUAUCGAAUUACACCCGUUCACUGCAAGUAUACAGAUCAACUAGUAGUUUAGGGUAUAUAUCGGGUCGAUCCCACAGGGAAGAGUGAACAAUUACCGGUAUUACUAAAACUUCUCUAUUAUUUAGACUAUCAAUGAAUUAUAACAAAUUUAACCUACUGAAAUUAUACAAAAUAACAAAUAAAAGCUCCUUAAGUUAUAGUAUCGCUAACUACUCAUGCAAGUGUUAUAUUUGGAUCAUUGAGUACUACAUCUAGGCUAAUUAUGGUGUAAUUUCCUUAUGCAUUUGAAUCCUACUUUCGUAGUGAAUCAAUUAUACUUAUAACUAAUCCAUACCUAUUCUCAUGGUUAUGAAAUUAGCUACAAGUUCAUUUCUUCAGUGAAAUUACAUGAAAUGAAUCACUAAAAACCACAUAGGUGCACCUCUACUUUCGUGAGUGUACUCCCUAUGUUUAGCACUUAUUGAACUAAUGUUAAAUCUCAAUUUUCAUUGCAGAAAUAACAACUUAGAUAAUCACAAUUAAUGGUACCAGAUUAAUCAUGAUUUAAAGAGCUAAAAUGCUAAAUAACUUGCUCAAAUCAUAACAAUCAAAUAACCAAAUAAUAAACAUUAACAAUCAUAGAAAGUUCAACCAAACCCAAGGUAUAAACUUUAAAGACACAUAAUGAACACAAAAUCCAGAACUUGCAUAUUAACUAAAUUUGGAAUCAAGUACAAAAGAUAAAGAUUUGGAAGGAAAUGAGUACUUGAACUUUAGAGAGCCAAUUAUUCAUGAGUACUUGAACUUAAUUGAAUAAUUGCAUAAUGGUUAUUUACUUUGUUUUGAGGAAAUGAAGUUCAAAUGUUACAUAUGUUUAUUUUCAAAUUUUGAAUCAUUGUUGUUUUGUAUUUCUUAUUGCUUGAGGACAAGCAAUGGUUCAAGUGUGGGGGUAUUUGAUAAGAAUAUAUUUUACGUAUUUUUUAGUGUGUUUUACUAGUUAAUUUUGGUUUAAUUAUUUAGUUUUAUAAGUAAAAUAACUAAGGUUUUGGUAAAAAAAACUACAUUUUAUAUUAAAGUGGCUAAACAUUGCAUUUUAUGAAUUUUUAUGAUAAAAAUUUCAUAUUUUGUAGGUUUAAUGAUUCAAUCAUCAAAUGAAGUGCAUUGAGAAGAUAUUUGGAUGAUUGAAGAUGGAUUAAAGUGGUGAAAAUAAAAUAUGAAGUGUAAAAGGAAAAAUGCAAUUUGAAUCAAGAAAAGUCAGGUUUGACAACUCUGACACGUUUUGGUAUUUUGACUAUAUCUGGAGCUACACUGAUCGGAUUGAGGUGAUCUUUACACCAAUUUAAAGCUAAGAAAGAGAUCUAUAUUUGGUAUGAAGACAUCAAAGUCCAAUUCAGCCGUUUUCAUAGUCCAAAAGUUGAAAUACCGAAAUUCAACUCAGCUGUCCAAAGUGGAAAACAGAGUUCUGACCAGUCUUUAGUAUUUUGGUCAUAUCUCAGGCUACAAAGCUCCGAUCUGGAUGAUUUUUAGAGCAUUGGAAAGCUAACUCAAAGGGCUACAACUUUGGUGUUUUCCACAAAAGCCAGUUCAGCCUUUAUGAUAGAGAAAAUCGCAGUUGAAGUAAGGACAAAGUGAAUACGCGAGCACACAAAACGUGACUUGUAACCGCGUUUUAUGUAGGCGUGUUUUCUGGCCGCAAUUCUGCAAUUUGACUCAGCCAUUUCUCCUGUGUUCAUACCACUUUCCAGCUAUAAGAUGCAAGGGAAUUCGGUGCACAUGCUUCAGAAGACAAAGAGCAUACAACAUGGCUUAUUCCAAAUCAAAAGCCAUUAUUUUUUACUUCCUUAACAAAUUCAGAUUUGGAGAAUCAUAGCAGAAAUUUUGGACCAGUGGAAAGGCACCUCAUAUCAGUUUUAUAUAGAGAGCAAUCAGAGGGAGGUCUGGAAGGAACAUACGAGAGAAGCUUGGAGUCUGCAAAAAUGUAGUUUUUCCAUUCUCUUAGUAUUAGUUUAGCUUAGUAUAGAGUAGUAUAGUUCAUCGAUUCUUGUUAUUAGCUAGAUAAAGAAGAAGAUGGAGGAUGAAGAAGGCAAGGAAGAAAACUCAUGUGACAAGGGUUGUAUUCCUUCCAAAUCUUUAUCUUUUGUACUUGAUUCCAAAUUUAGUUAAUAUGCAAGUUCUGGAUUUUGUGUUCAUUAUGUGUCUUUAAAGUUUAUACCUUGGGUUUGGUUGAACUUUCUAUGAUUGUUAAUGUUUAUUAUUUGGUUAUUUGAUUGCUAUGAUUUGAGCAAGUUAUUUAGCACUUUAGCUCUUUAAAUCAUGAUUAAUCUGGUACCAUUAAUUGUGAUUAUCUAAAGUGUUAUUUCUGCAAUGAAAAUUGAGAUUUAACAUUAGUUCAAUAAGUGCUAAACAUAGGGAGUACACUCACGAAAGUAGAGGUGCACCUAUGUGAUUUUUAGUGAUUCAUUUCAUGUAAUUUCACUGAAGAAAUGAACUUGUAGCUAAUUUCAUAACCAUGAGAAUAGGUAUGGAUUAGUUAUAAGUAUAAUUGAUUCACUACGAAAGUAGGAUUCAAAUGCAUAAGGAAAUUACACCAUAAUUAGCCUAGAUGUAGUACUCAAUGAUCCAAAUAUAACACUUGCAUGAGUAGUUAGGGAUACUACAACCUAUGGAGCUUUUAUUUGUUAUUUUGUAUAAUUUCAUUAGGUUAAAUUUGUUAUAAUUCAUUGAUAGUCUAAAUAAUAGAGAAGUUUUGGUAAUACCGGUAAUUGUUCACUAAAAACGCGGCUUAGAAAACGCGCCUCCAAGUCGCGUUUUCUCAAAGAACCGCGUUUUCAAUCCUGCAAGAUUGGUGAAGGAAACGCGACUUCAAAAACGCAGUUUUAUGGCACGUUUUGUUAAGCCACGUUUUCUGAGCACAUUUUUUUUAAAAAAAAAAAAAAAAAGAAAAAAUGCAGGAUCUUUGGUUCUUUUCUUUUCCUCGUAUAUUUUCUUGUACCUUGAGUGGCUUAUUGUGGAUUUUCUAUAGGUACACCAUCAAAACAAAGGAUUGAAGUUACGGAUCGCCGUUUAGUUUUAUUAAACCUUUGUUAUCACUUUUGUUUCUCAUUUUCCAUUUUUAGGUUUAUAUCACUAAUGGUUAUCAAAUGGAACUCUUGAAGUGAUGAAGACAGGCGCACAAUGUACCUUGAAGCUUCAUAUUCAAUCACAAUAAUAGGGGAGUAUUGCUUUUCUUUAUCUUGAUUUUACUUUUUACACAUUGAGGACAAUGUGUAUGUUAAGUGUGGGGGGAAGAAUUGAGAUUAUAUACAUUGUAUGUGAUUGACUUAUUAGUUGUAAAUAUUGGACUUGUGUUAAAUCCUGUCCAAAUUUGCAAACUUGCCCCAAAAAGUUUCAAAUUUUUUCAAUUUUACCCAAAGGGGUAACAAGUUUCAUACCAUUAGAAGUUCAAAUUUCUUCUACAUUUGAGAUAAAUAUAUGUGAUUUGGAAAUUUCUUUUCUCACUCAACUUGGAAAUGACUAUUAUCUGAUUAUAAUUUUUGCAUUUGUAGGAAAGUAUAUCUUUUAAAAUGGAGAAAAUUAUGCCAAUAUUUUUUUGCAUAUUUGAUGAAAUUUCUUCGCUUUAUUUGAUUUUAUAAGUUAAGUGAUAAAUAUGGUCAAUAAUUGCAAUACUCUUCUCAUGAUUAUGCUUUCAAGGGAAUGUUAUUAUCUUUACUAAAAAAUAAAAAAAAAUGAAAAAAAUGAAAAAUGAAAAAUUGAAGAAAAAAAAAAGGGAAUAAGAUUUGUUCUACUCCAAUGAUUCUUGUACUUAGUAAUCGGGUGUCUUCAUCUAAAAAUGUCGACUUUCGCGUAAAACGGUACUUGAAUUAAGAGUAUGCAAAGCAUCUUAAGUAUGUGAAGUGUUAAGUAACCGAUGAUCUUCAUCUAAAAAUGUCGAUUCUCGCGUAAAAAGAUACUUUCACAACUUAAGUAAUAUUUAGCUAUAUUAUAUAAAUAAAUCCCUUUUUAAAUUUGAAUAAGAAAUGAUUAUGAGUUUAGGAAGCAUAUUAUUGACCAUAUGAGUUACUUGCGUAUGAAAUUGGUUAAGGAUGAAAAAUUGAAUUAAACUUGUUAUAAUUACGGUAUAAUUGGCUCUCCUUUACUUGAUAUUAUGAGUACUUGAACUUAAUUGAAUAAUUGCAUAAUGGUUAUUUACUUUGUUUUGAGGAAAUGAAGUUCAAAUGCUACAUAUGUUUAUUUUCAACUUUUGGAUCAUUGUUGUUUUGUAUUUCUUAUUGCUUGAGGACAAGCAAUGGUUCAAGUGUGGGGGUAUUUGAUAAGAAUAUAUUUUACGUAUUUUUUAGUGUGUUUUACUAGUUAAUUUUGGUUUAAUUAUUUAGUUUUAUAAGUAAAAUAACUAAGGUUUUGGUAAAAAACUACAUUUUAUAUUAAAGUGGCUAAACAUUGCAUUUUAUGGAUUUUUAUGGUAAAAACUUCAUAUUUUGUAGGUUUCAUGAUUCAAUCAUCAAAUGAAGUGCAUUGAGAAGAUAUUUGGAUGAUUGAAGAUGGAUUAAAGUGGUGAAAAUAAAAUAUGAAGUGUAAAAGGAAAAAUGCAAUUUGAAUCAAGAAAAGUCAGAUUUGACAACUCUGACACGUUUUGGUAUUUUGACUAUAUCUGGAGCUACACUGAUCGGAUUGAGGUGAUCUUUACACCAAUUUAAAGCUAAGAAAGAGAUCUACAUUUGGUAUGAAAACAUCAAAGUCCAAUUCAGUCGUUUUCAUAGUCCAAAAGUUGAAAUACCGAAAUUCAACUCAGCUGUCCAAAGUGGAAAAUAGAGUUCUGACCAGUCUUUAGUAUUUUGGUCAUAUCUCAGGUUACAAAGCUCCGAUCUGGAUGAUUUUUAGAGCAUUGGAAAGCUAACUCAAAGGACUACAACUUUGGUGUUUUCCACAAAAGCCAAUUCAGCCUUUAUGAUAGAGAAAAUCGCAGUUGAAGUAAGGACAAAGUGAAUACGCGAGUACACAAAACGUGACUUGUAACCGCGUUUUGUGUAGGCGCGUUUUCUGGCCGCAAUUCUGCAAUUUGCUCAGUCAAUUCUCUUAUGUUCAAACUACUUUCCAGCUACAAUCUGCAAGAGAAUUCGAUGCACAUGCCUCAGAAGACAAGAGAGCAAUAAAGAUGGCUUAUUUUCAAGUCAAAAACAUUUGUUAUUGACUAUCUUAACAAUUUCAGAUUUGAGAAUCCUUAGAGCAGCAAAUUUGGACUAGAGAGGAGCUUUUCAUCAGCUUAUAUGCAGAGACAUUUGGGAGAUCUGAGGACAUUGGGAAUCAUACGGGGGAGAGAGCUUGAAGUGCAGAAUUGUAGUUCUUCCAUUUCCUUUGUGUAGUAUAGUUUAGCUAGUUAGUUCAUCCACUCUUGUAUAUUGCUAGAUUAGGAUGAAGAUUGAGAUGAAGAAGGAGGAGUUGAAGCUCAUGUGACAAGGGUUAUCUCUUCUCCAAUUCUUUAUCGUUUGUACUUGAUUCCAAAUUUAGUUAAUAUGUAAUUUCUGGAUUUUAUGUUAUUUAUGUGUCUUUAAAGUUUAUACCUUGGGUUUGGUUGAACUUUCUAUGAUUGUUAGUGCUUAUUAUUUGGCUAUUUAACUGCUAUGAUUUGAGCAAGUUAUUUAGCACUUUGGCUCUUUAAAUCAUGAUUAAUCUGGUACCAUUAAUUCUGAUUAUCUAAGGUGUUAUUUCUGCAAUGAAAAUUGAGAUUUAACAUUAGUUCAAGAAGUGCUAAACAUAGGGAGUACACUCACGAAAGUAGAGGUGCACCUAUGUGGUUUUUAGUGAUUAAUUUCAUGUAAUUUCAAUGAAAAAAGAACUUGUAGCUAAUUUCAUAACCAUGAGAAUAGAUAUGGAUUAGUUAUAAGUAUAAUUGAUUCACUACGAAAGUAGGAUUCAAAUGCAUAAGGAAAUUACACCAUAAUUAGCCUAAAUGUAGUAUUCAAUGAUCCAAAUAUAACACUUGCAUGAGUAGUUAGGGAUACCACAACCCAAGGAGCUUUUAUUUCUUAAUUUCUUGUAUAAGUGCAGUAGGUUAAAUUUCUUAUCAUUAAUUGAUAGUCUAAAUAAUAGGAAAGCUUUAGUAAUACCGGUAAUUGUUCACUCUUCCCUGUGGGAUCGACCCGAUAUAUACCCUAAACUACUAGUUGACCUGUAUACUUGCAGUGAACGGGUGUAAUUUGGUUUUUUUAACUUGUACGUAUAUAAAAUACCCGUCAAGUUGGUGUAAUAAUAAUAUAAUUGUCACUAACCAAUUUCCAUUAAUUAAUCCUACUUGCGUACAUAACAGAUAAGUGGCAAACAAAAUUCACAUCUAUUUUAACUUUUUACCUUCAUCCAAUCCUAUUUUCCUUUACAUUCUAUUCUAACCUCUGGUUUUAUAUAAUGAUGGGGAAACCAAAAGGCAACCCCAAAAAUUCGGCCUUUUGGUAAUUUUUUUUUUGGUGAAUUGAGUUGCCAUUUUAUUUACAAUCCAGCAUCAAUCUAGUCCUUUUCUUAAUGUCCUCAUAAAUCUAUUGUAUAUGCAUCUCACGCACCUUCGUCUUCUUCAAGGAACUUACACAUUAGACCAUGUUAACAUUAGCCCAUAACCCCAUCCCACCCCAUGCAGAACAUGGCUCCAAAGGCUGACAAAGGCCCCUGGCUCUUUUGUUUUUUUUGACUACUUGUUCCCUGCCGUGCCUAGUCAGCACGGUUGGGGAUAGGCUGAUUUUAAAAAAAAAAAAUUGCGCGCUGACCGCACUGAAAUUUUUACAGAGGUUCUGAUCGGCUAACACCAUCUAGCAUAGGAUGAGCAUGAUGAGGUUUUUUUUUCUAUUUUGAAUAUACUAUGGGGAGGGUUGGGUUGGGUUGGGUGGUACGGGGGAGGAAGUGUAAGGAAGAGGUCUUUGGUUCAAGUCCUCCUGUUUACACUAAAAAAAAAACAUAAUACAAGAUGUUUUCAGUAAGUUUGGGACAUACUACAGGAGGGAUGCAUGCAUUUCGGAAAACAACUUCAGUAAGUUUGGAAGGGAAGUUGUUUUCCAUAAGAUGAGUGAAAAUAUUUUACAUAGGAAAAUAUUUUCAGUAACUUUUGUAUAACCAAACACGGGAAAUUAGGAAAAUAUUUUCCUAAAAAACAUUUUCACCCAAAACAAACGGACCCUUAGUGUGGUUGGAAAUAUUUUGGAUUUUUUUCUUUGUUCAAGUUUGGAAGGGCAUGGGGGCGGGGGCUGGAUUUAACAAUAUUCAUCACGAGUGUGGAGCUUGUUUGAGUGAAGAAUGGGGUGGAUGGGGCUGUGAAAUUUCCCUUUUCUUCUCUUUCAAGACUUUGUAUAUAUGAAGUGUAACGAAUGAAAGGUAGUAGGGUAAUUACUUAGAAUAUUAGCAAAAAAAGAGAAAAGUCGGAUACUUAUUGUUUUGACAGGAGUGUGGUAUUAAUGUGUCAGCUCGGCACUUGACACAACUUUUUUUUUUAAAGCCCGACAGCCAGUCAAAAGUUUUUCUUUGACAGUCCGGCAGUCCACUUGUUAAAGGUAAAAAAAAAAAAAAGCCUGACUCAUAUUUAAUUCCGAUUUUAAUUCCAAGCGGUAAAAGUAUUCAGUUUCGUGCUAAGUAUGACUUUUUUUGUCGACAUCCAAAAAAAAAAGGAAGCUUAAACAACCAUUCGGCAGUCUUUUUUUUGGUCCACUUAUGUAACUAAGCCACGGGAUGCUGAAUCAUACUGAGAUUCCGCUAGUCUUUUCCUUUUUUGUACUUGACGGGUUUUUUUGAUAUGAGUGCAAAUUUAAUUUCGAUUUUAUACCUGUUUGUCUACAAGUAUACAUGUCAAUCAAGUAGUACAGGACAUGUUUCGGGUUGAUCACACAAGAAACAAGUUAAACAAUUAUUAGAUCUUUAUUUACUCUAUUAUUUAAACUAACAAUAAAUUAGAGUAGAAAUAUUAUAAAUGCUACUUUUUAUAAUCUGAUUAGAUCAAUGCAAGUUACAAAUGGAGAAAAUUCACUAAAGACUUGAAUUUAGGGAUAUAGAUUUCACUUAUGGCACAAAAAAUUUAAUUGAGUGAAUUUAACACUUGUUACUACUCUUGUUUAACCAGGGAUUCAUUUCCAAAAUUGUAAAAAUUUCAUUCUCAUGAUAAUAAUGGUCUAGAACAUACUAGUUUAUCCUAAUCUCUUGGUGAAUAACUGAUUCUGUUCUUACUUCAUUCAUGAAAUGUAAAUUUAAUUCACUUGAAUAUAUUUAUAUUCUCAUGAACCUACAACUUAAGCUCUACUCAUUUUAUUCCAUUGUUAUUAUCAAUUAUCAUUGAGUAAUAACAACUAUAAACCUACUAUUGGUGAUCAAACAACAAGAAGUAAUCAAACAUGCACAAGUAGACAAGUUAAUACAAGUUGUAACAAGUAUAAAUCUCAUUCCAUUCUCAUCACUUGGUGUGACGACCCCACUUCUCCCAAGGGCGAAUUCGAGGGUAUUAGCGGGUCGCCUGCCUAGCUCGCGUCAGGACUCGAAACUUAAAGCAAUAAAAUUAGAUAAAUCGAAAGAGCACUAUAUACACAAUAUAUACAAUCCCAAAAGUGUUCGAAUCAUCCCAUUACAUCCUUAUGAAUAUAACCAAAACCAAAGAGUAGACCCUAAGGAGGGUCCUUAUACAAACCACCAAAACUAAAACAAACAUCCUAAUUGUCCAACUAUUACAUGCAAAUUUAACUAUACUAGUGUAUGUGUCAAAAGUCCCCACGUCGGCCCCUGCUAAGGAAAAUAAAAGAAAAGGGGUAAGGUAUAUGCUUAGUAAGUAAACAGGGGCAAAAGCGUAAAUCUCACAUAUGUAAGAGUAAAGCAAAAGCAGAAAAAUAACAUCAAAUAAUAAGGAUACGGGUGGCUCCAAAGCCAAUUCAUGUGCCAUGUAUGAUCUCCUGCCGACACUCCGUCGACCACAAAUAAUGGUCUGUAGAACUCCACUUGUUCUCCCACCGUACACCUUAUCACCCUCUCUGGCCAGACACCUCACAAACUUGCUCGAGCGAACGAAAUUGAGUUUGGUUCACAAGCUCGGGUCACAAAUUUGGUCCACAUACUCGGUGAACCGGAUUCACAAACUUGGUGACCUCAAUCCUGGUUGGACUGACUUCGACCAAACCCUAACCGGCUCGAAUAGUCCAUCUAGGUAUUGAGAUCGGGCCCCAAACUCACAAACUUCACAAAAGUCAACCCGAGCCACAAGCUCAAGGGUUUUAAUUCCAAAAUUGCUCAUAUACACAAGCUAUGUACAAAUAUGUGCGCAAGUUAGGGUUUAGGUCGAGUGCGAUAAAGCACACCCUCGCCUAGGUACCAUCUUCAUACAUAUCGACACACAUAAGCAACUAACACACAAGAGCGGCCUGAAUACUUACCCAACGAACAAAAGAGCAAAAGUACGAAAUUCGUGCCGCGAGGAGUAGCUAGUAGGCCCCACCGGCUCCUCCUAUCUCACCAACGUCUGAAAUAGAAGAUUGUGUCACAAUAUAUCACAAACGGCUACUAACAUACUUAAAACAAGCAAAACGGCAAAAUCGGCACAUACGAGUGCGGAAACGGCAUACGGAUUCGGAAAUAGUAACCUAAUCGCUUUGCCGUCAAAACUGUUUUGAAUACAAUCGAAGCUACGAGUGUCAGAUCAAGGUACAUGAGAUACCGUGGUGAAGCUAAGAGGAAGGGCUACAAUUUUCAUGAAGACACCUAAGUCUGGAUCUGAACAGAAAUAGGUCGAAAGUAUGGAAAAUCGUUCCAGAAAUUCGCACUUUAGAGUGACGGACAGGGUAUGUUUGCUGGACUAUAAUUCCCAGCUCACCAAUCCAAAUCAGGAAAUUCCAAAGGCAUUAGAAAGCUGGGACAUAAGGUUAAAACUUUGAUGUUUUGGCCAAGACCUGAAUCCACUCAGAACAGAACGAAAAUUGAGUGCCAAAGUACCCGUCAGAACUGUCCAGAUUCAAAGGCAGUUCUGACGAUCGAUCUUGUUUUGGUCAUAAUGGGAGCUACGGAACUCGGAUUUCGGCGCACUUUAUACCGUUUCAAAGCUAAAACCAAGAUCUACAUUUCUUAUGAAGGAGUCAACACCCAAAUCGUACGUUAUCAAAACGGAAAAAAUCACGGUCAGAAGCUAACUCAAAACGCAACAGAAUCUGAUGUUCAAAAUAGGCCUGAGUGUUUUGUCUAUAACUCAGGAUACACUAAUCCGUUUGACCUAAAAUUUUACAGGCAUAUUCAGGGCUUAAGAGGCUACAACUUUUAUGUUUUCAGAAACUUCUGAAUCCAUAUGUAACAUCAAGAAAAAUGAAGCCAAAGUUCGGAUGCUGAACUGCCAUAGUUUUCCAAAUUUGCCGGUUUUGCGCGCCGCAACCGUACAAUCCGUUUUAUGAUUCUUAUACCAACUUUUCUAACCAAUUUGAUACCCAAAAACCAUACGCAUAUCAGCCUAUUAGUGGUCUGAAAUUCUCUCCUUCUUUUACCACAAAAUUACCAAACACUAACCAAAAUCCCUAUCCUCACUUCAUUCGCACUAAUGAGGUUGCUCUAACAUCCAACUAACCAAACCCCAACUCACUAGGCAUUAGCUAAGCUAAACUAUCCUAAUGGAGUCUAGGGUGUCAUGAACCAAAUCUGAUUUUACCAAAAUCGAACCAUACAAGAACAAUCAAUACAUCACAAAUUCCAUCUACAAAUCAAUUUCUCAAUCAAAGCAACUAAGGAAAACAUUAAAACAAGAAGCCCUAAUUUUUUUCCUUUUGACCGAAUUUCCAACAGCAACAAAACACUAAAAUUAACCAUGAAACUUCAAUAUAAACAUCAAAUCCACCAUACAAAUCCAUAAUCACAACAAAAUACAUCAAUUCCAUAGCUUAAAGAUUAACAACCCCAAAAUUUAUCUUUCAAAGAAGAUGGCAUACCUUCAAAUGAGUUUGAUAGAUGAUCAAACUUCAACAAUCAAGCUCCUAAGUUGUUCCCUCAAGCUUCAAAGGCAAGAUGAAAGGCUAGAAGAUGAAGAACUUGAAGAAUUUCUUUCCUCUCUUUGCUCUCUCAAUCUCGGCUCUCCUCUCUCUUUUUUCUCUCCAAGUCUUGUCUUGUUUGUCUUGUGAUUAUCUUAUAAUCCUAAGGUAAUAAAUAGUCAAAGACAAUAGGAGAUAUUUUUAGGCUAACCAAUCACAUAAAAAUGCUUUAUUUGCCUUUUAAACCCUUGCAUUUCAACCUAGCUUUUAUUCUACUCUUGCCCUCAAACAUUUGAUAAUCUUUCAAUUAACUCCAUAGGUCAUAACUUAAUCUAGUCUAAAACAUGUAAUCACGCUCAAUUAUUUCACUAAUCACUUUCCUAUCUUAAUCACCUAUAUUUAAACAUACUUUUUCCAUAAUAAAAACAAUCAAACAACAACUUUUAUAACUUUGACAAAAUUAGGAUUUUUAAACCCCACUUAAGCUUUCUAAUAAAUUGUAACGCUAGAGGUUUGCUAAUCUAGAGUUUGCUAACCAUUUCAAACUUGCUAAACCUUUGUAAACUAAAACGAAUCCUAAACUUACGUAUGCCAAAACACACACUAGAACACCGAAUAUAAAUUAUAGCUCGAACCUACGAAUAAUAAUACAUAAACUAGGGUUUUCAAUCUUAACCAAGAUUAGGGUUUUCUCCUUAGCCCUAAAACCCUAAUUUCACCACACCGACUAAUGAAUAACCCUAAUAUUAACUUACGAACUGAUUGGGGCCUCACAAUCUUCCCCACUUAGGACAAUUUCGUCCUCGAAAUUAAUUCCUUGGUCAAAGCGUACCUUCGAAACCCGCCGAAGGGUCAGUCACCUCUUGUUGACCCAUUGCAUACACUCUUGCUGGCCCUGUUGGUCGAUUUCCCUCGGCAUUCGUCGAUUUUGUUGUGGUCCCUUCUGUUGGUGGUUUGAGUCCUUCCUUCUGCAUCUUAGGGCACCGGGCAAUCAGAUGUUCGGUGCUGCCACAUUUGAAGCAUUUCCGUACCGAACUAUUUUUCCAGCAAUUUUCAUCGGUAUGAUUGUCCCCACAGAAACCACAGGUUGACUUAGUGGCCGUACUUGACCCUCCACGCUGGGUACUCCUCGGGGGCUCUUGCACUACCUGACCUCGCCCAAAGUUAUUCAGAAUUCUUACAGGUCGUGGACCGUCUGUGCCUUUACUCAUCUUAGCAAGUGGCUCGUUUCGCAGGCUCUGUCCAACCGCGGAAUCAUUCGAACUAGGUUGCCUCCUUUUCCGGUCAUGGAAGGCUUUAAUCUGUCCCCUGGCAGUCUCAAUCCGCUGUGCUUUUUCUAGCGCCUGGCUAAAUGUGUCCAGCUGUGCGGUCGCUAGUGCUUCCUGGAUCUCCACAUUCAAUCCUUGGGUAAAGCGGCGAAUUCGCUUUUGCUCUGUUAGUACCAGUUCUGGGGCAAAACGAGAGAGUUUAGUGAACUGAGUCUCAUACUCUGCCAUACUAGAUGCCCCUUGACGCAGGCGGAUAAAAUCAUCUUCCCGUUUUUCUUGCACAAUGGGAGGAAAAUAUUUUUCAUUAAAUUCCCGUGUAAAGUUGAUCCAGGUCCAGGGGGUUUGUUCGCGCUCCCACUUGGUUUUAAUCACGUUCCACCAGGCUCGAGCGGCCCCUUCAAACUGAAAAAUAGCAAAAGAUAUAUGCCGCUCCUCCGAAUACCUAAGCGCGGCAAAUAUAUCUAACAUAUGGUCCAUCCAGCCCUCUGCUAGGUCAGGAUUGGGUCCACCUAUAAACUUAGGAGGUGCAAACUUUUGGAACCGUUCUAAAGCACGGUCCUCUCCCUCAUGAUUGCCUGGAUUAUGUCCCGGAUUAUGUCCAAGAUUCCCAGUACUGCUUCCCUGGCCCUGUUGAUUUGCCAUUCGCUCUAGUAGAUCGGUCAUCUGUUGAAUGGCUGUGGCGACUUGAUCCGGCCCAUUUUCAUUAUUUCCUUCAGAGCCUCGUCCUGGCUCCCUAUCUCUACUUGGACCACCGGAGUCCAUUUAGGGGUACAAGUCUAUAGAUCGGAACAUAACAUGUACUUAUUGUCCAAACUAUAAGCAAAAGAGGGGACACAAAACUUAUACAUAAAAGACAUACAAAAGAUAAGUUCUAAAAUUAUACUCAAAUUUAUACAUAUAUUUACAAAGUCACACCAAAAGAUUUACAAAUUACCCGACCUCCAGUCGGUACAAAACCCAAUAUACACAUAAGCACCGGCUCCAAAAAAUCUAGCCAGUCAACCAAAUAACAAAAGGGAGUAGUCAUGUCAGUUCUAACAAAAGUAAUCCACCAGCUAAACAAAAGUACAAAAGCGACCCAACACGCCUCCCCUAGGGCCCAGGUUCCCAACGGAACCUAACGUGUCCACCUCGUCCAUCAUCCUUGGGCCGGUGGCUCGUGGCGGUGCCUCCGCGGCCAUAUCUAGUAUGACCUCGCAAUCCAUCGAAAUACUCCGAGCCCUCUCCUUCAUCUGCCUCUUCAUAGCGAAGAGGUGCUGGUGAGUGUCCUGAAACUAACGGCGUAAAGCGUUCGCCCUAUGCAUCUCAUCUCGGAGACCCCGCUCCAAGUCCCUAAUGCGCAUCACCUGCCCGUGGCCAACCUCUCUGGCCUCCUCUAACUGACUAAUCAAACUGCGUCGCUCAUCGUCCACUGCCAGGACGACCUCGUCAGGGUAACUGUACGUAUCCCAACACCUACAAGGUCGAUGCGACACCUGACCAAAAGGGGAGUACAAAGUGUAAGGCUCUCCAGGCCUCUGCCGAUAACGGAUCGCCCGCUUACGCAACACUAGAUCCUCUGGACCCCUCGCACUCAGAGGUCUCGGUCCCACGCCACUGGGUCCCGCACCACUCGAACUGCCCGGAUACAUACCUACAAAACACUAAUUCGUCAAUUCUCCGGCAUUUCAGCUUAAAAUAUAUCAUUCAUCUUAAAAGAAUCAAGUAUGCCUAGUGCCUACCACGUAUGUCCCACUUCCCCAAGUCCUCUAAUUUAGGCGCUCUGAUACCACCUGUGACGACCCCACUUCUCCCAAGGGCGAACCCGAGGGUAUUAGCGGGCCGCCUGUCUAGCUCGCGCCAGGACUCGAAACUUAAAACAAUAAAACUAGAUAAAUCGAAAGAGCACUAUAUACACAAUAUAUACAAUCCCAAAAGUGUUCGAAUCAUCCCAUUACAUCCUUAUGAAUAUAACCAAAACCAAAGAGUAGACCCUAAGGAGGGUCCUUAUACAAACCACCAAAACUAAAACAAACAUCCUAAUUGUCCAACUAUUACAUGCAAAUCUAACUAUACUAGUGUAUAUGUCAAAAGUCCCCGCGUCGGCCCCUGCUAAGGAAAACAAAAGAAAGGGGGUAAGCUAUAUGCUUAGUAAGUAAAUAGGGACAAAAGCGUAAAUCUCACAUAUGUAAGAGUAAAGCAAAAGCAGAAAAAUAACAUCACAUAAUAAGGAUACGGAUGGCUCCAAAGCCAAUUCAUGUGCCAUGUAUGAUCUCCUGCCGACACUCCGUCGACCACAAAUAAUGGUUCGUAGAAUUCCACUUGUUCUCCCACCGUACACCUUAUCACCCUCUCUGGCCAGACACCUCACAAACUUGCUCGAGCGAACGAAAUUGAGUUUGGUUCACAAGCUCGGGUCACAAACUUGGUCCAUAUACUCGGUGAACCGGAUUCACAAACUUGGUGACCUCAAUCCUGGUUGGACUGACUUCGACCAAACCCUAACCGGCUCGAAUAGUCCAUCUAGGUAUUGAGAUCGGGCCCCAAACUCACAAACUUCACAAAAGUCAACCCGAGCCACAAGCUCAAGGGUUUUAAUUCCAAAAUUGCUCAUAUACACAAGUUAUGUACAAAUAUGUGCGCAAGUUAGGGUUUAGGUCGAGUGCGAUAAAGUACACCCUCGCCUAGGUACCAUCUUCAUACACAAAUAUCUCCUAUUGUCUUUGACUAUUUAUUACCUUAGGAUUAUAAGAUAAUCACAAGACAAACAAGACAAGACUUGGAGAGAAAAAAAAAAAAAAAAGAGGAGAGCCGAGAUUGAGAGAGCAAAGAGAGGAAAGAAAUUCUUCAAGUUCUUCAUCUUCUAGCCUUUCAUCUUGCCUUUGAAGCUUGAGAGAACAACUUAGGAGCUUGAUUGUUGAAGUUUGAUCAUCUACCAAACUCAUUUGAAGGUAUGCCAUCUUUUUUAAAAGAUAAAUUUUGGGGUUGUUAAUCUUUAAGCUAUGGAAUUGAUGUAUUUUGUUGUGAUUAUGGAUUUGUAUGGUGGAUUUGAUGUUUAUAUUGAAGUUUCAUGGUUAAUUUUAGUGUUUUGUUGCUAUUGGAAAUUCGGUCAAAAGGAAAAAAAUUAAGGCUUCUUGCUUUAAUGUUUUCCUUAGUUGCUUUGAUUGAGAAAUUGAUUUGUAGAUGGAAUUUGUGGUGUAUUGAUUGUUCUUAUAUGGUUCGAUUUUGGUAAAAUCAGAUUUGGUUCAUGACACCCUAGACUCCAUUAGGAUAGUUUAGCUUGGCUAAUGCCUAGUGAGUUGGGGUUUGAUUAGUUGGAUGUUAGAGCAAGCUCAUUAGUGCGAAUGAAGUGAGGAUAGGGAUUUUGGUUAGUGUUUGGUAAUUUUGUGGUAAAAGAAGGAGAGAAUUUCGGACUACUAAUAGGCUGAUAUGCGUAUGGUUUUCGGUAUCAAAUUGGUUAGAAAAAUUGGUAUAAGAAUCAUAGAACGGACUGUACGGUUGCGGCGCGUAAAACUGACAAAUUUCGAAAACUAGGGCAGUUCAGCAUCCGAACUUUGGCUUCAUUUUUCUUGAUGUUACGUACGGAAUCAGAAGUUUCUCAAAACAUGAAAGUUCUAGCCUCUUAAGCCCUGAAUAUGCCUGUAAAAUUUCAGGUCAAACGGAUUAGUGAAUCCUGAGUUAUAGACAAAAAACUCAGGCCUAUUUUGAACUUCAGAUUCUGUUGCGUUUUGAGUUAGCUUCUGACCGUGAUUUUUUCUGUUUUUAUAACGUACGACCUGGGUGUCGACUCCUUCAUAAGAAAUGUAGAUCUUGGUUUUAGCUUCGAAACGGUAUAAAGUGCGCUGAAAUCCGAGUUCCGUAGCUCCCAUUAUGACCAAAACAAGAUCGAUCAUCAGAACUGCCUUUGAAUCUGGACAGUUCUGACGGGUACUUUGGCACUCAAUUUUCGUUCUAUUCUGAGUGGAUUCAGGUCUUGGCCAAAACAUCAAAGUUUUAGCCUUAUGUCCCAGCUUUCUAAUGCCUUUGGAAUUUCCUGAUUUAGAUUGGUGAGCUGGGAAUUAUAGUCCAGCAAACAUACCCUGUCCGUCACUCUAAAGUGCGAAUUUCUGGAACAAUUUUCCAUACUUUCGACCUAUUUCUGUUCAGAUCCGGACUUAGGUGUCUUCAUGAAAAUUGUAGCACUUCCUCUUAGUUUCGCAACGGUAUCUCAUGUACCUUAAUCUGACACUCAUAGUUAUGAUUGUAUUCAAAACAGCUAUGACGGCAAAGCGAUUAGGUUACCAUUUCCGAAUCCGUAUGCCGUUUCCGCACUCGUAUGUGCCGAUUUUGCCGUUUUGCUUGUUUUAAAUAUGUUAGUAGCCGUUUGUGAUAUAUUGUGACACAAUCUUCUAUUUCAGACGUUGGUGAGUUAGGAGGAGUCGGUGGGGCCUACUAGCUACUCCUCGCGGCACGAAUUUCGUACUUUUGCUCUUUUGUUCGUUGGGUAAGUAUUCAGGCCGCUCUUGUGUGUUAGUUGCUUAUGUGUUUCGAUAUGUAUACUUACGUAUACCAAAACACACACUACAACACCGAAUAUAAAUUAUAGCUCGAACCUACGAAUAAUAAUACAUAAACUAGGGUUUUCAAUCUUAACCAAGAUUAGGGUUUUCUCCUUAGCCCUAAAACCCUAAUUUCACCACACCGACUAAUGAAUAACCCUAAUAUCAACUUACGAACUGACUGGGGCCUCACACUUGGCCAUAAGUUUCAUCUACUUCAUAAAUAUAGAAAUUUAGCUACUCAUGAAUGAUAUCACGAUCAAACUCAUAACUUCAUUAAUGAAAAACAUCAUGAGUUACAAGUACAAGAAAGAUAAAGAAAAGCUUAGUCAAGUUAAUGGUGAAUCCCUCAAAAUUUUGCUAUGUCUUGCACUAGAUGAUUACAAGAUAAAAUCUCCAAGUGUUCCUGCAAAAUUUGCUAGUUAGAGAGAAUUGUUUACAAGAAAAUGCUAGCUUUCGUAUCUGAUGUCUCACCUCUCCUUUGUUCUCUGCAUAAAAGCUGGUGGAAAGUUCCUUUUCCACCUCCUUAUGAUUCUCAAUUCUCAAUCUUUGUUAAGAAAGUCAAAAGCAAUGGUUUUUGACUUGACAGUAAAUCAUAUUAUCCUCCUAUUUGCAUCAGAAGCAUGUGCCACUGAAUUUUCUUACCAAAUAUAGCUGGAAAGUAGUGUGAACAUGAGAAAAAUAGCUGAGCAAAUUGCAGAAUUUCGGCUACAAUACGCGAAUUGACAAAACGCGGCUUCAAACUACGUUUUGAUGACUCGCAUUUUCAACUCUGUGCUUUUGGCCUCGCUUCAACUGCAAUUUUCUCUAUGAUUGAGGUCAAACUAAUUUUUGUACAAAACAUAAAAGUUGUAACCCUUUAAAUUAGUUUUACAAUAUUUCAAAAAUCAUUCAAAUCGGAGUUUUGUGGACUGAGAUAUGAUCGAAAUACCAACAACUGGUCAGUUCCCUGUUUCAGUCUCAUCCAUAGAAUGCAACUUCUGUAUUUCGGCUUUUUCACCAAGAAAACAGCUGAAUUGAAUUUCGAUGUCUUCAUACCAAAUAUAGAUCUAUCUCUUAACUUCAAAAUGGUAUAAAGAUCACCUCAAUUCGGUAUGUGUAGCUCCAGAUAUGGCCGAAAUACCGAAAAGUAUCAACACUGUCUUGAACUGCAUUUCUUUAAUUAAAUGUUUUUCACUUCAUUUCUUCUUUACACACUUCAAUUCAUCACCAAUCAUCAGAUUUCCUUCUCAAUUCAUACCCUUUGAUGAUUGUAUCAUUAAUCCUGCAAGAAAAUGAAGUUUUUACCCUUAAAAUCAAUAGAAAUGCAAUGUUAGCCACUUUAAUAAAAAAUGUAUAUUUUUAUCAAAAUCCUAAUUAUUUUAAUUAUAAACUAGAUUAAGCUACUGAAUUUAACUAAUAAAAUACAUUUAAAAACAUAUAAAAUAUACUCUUAUCAAAUACCCCCACACUUAAACCAUUGCUUGUUCUCAAGUAAUUAGAAAUACAAAUCAAUAAUGAUUCAACAUUUUUUAAGAUAAACAUAUGUGCUCAAAUCAACAUCAUUUUCUCGAAUCAAGGUAAAUAAUUAUUAUGUGAUUUUUCUUUAAUUCUCAAGUACUCAUAAUAUCAAAUAAAGAAGAACCAAAUAUGCCAUAAUUAUACUAAUUCAACUCAAUUCUCAUUCUUACCCAAUUUCACAAGCAAGCAACUCAUAUAAUCAAUAAAUAUGCUAACUAAUCUCAUGAUUAACUUCUUAUUUUUCUUAAAGAGGAAUUUAUUCUUUUUACAUAGCUAAAUACUAUUUAAGUUGUGAUAAUGUCUUUUGACACGAAAAUCGACAUUUUUGUAUGAAAAAAUUCAAUUCUGCUAUUUUUUUGGUGAAAAAGUCGAAAUACAGAAGCUGCAUUCUAUGGACGAGAUUGAAACAGGGGACUGACCAGUUGUUGGUAUUUCGAUUAUAUCUCAGUCCACAAAACUCCGAUUUGAAUGAUUCUUGAAGUAUUGUAAAGCUAAUUCAAAAGACUACAACUUUUGUGUUUUGCACAAAAACUAGUUUGGCCUCGAUCAUAGAGAAAAUUGUAACUGAAACGAGGCCAAAAUCACAGAGUUGAAAAUGCGAGUCAUCAAAAUGUGGCUUAAAGUCGCUUAUUGUAGUAGAAAUUCUGCAAUUUGCUCAGCCAUUUCUUUUAUAUUCACACUACUUUUCAGCUAUAUUUGGUAAGAAAAUUCGAUGACACAUGCUUCUGAUGCAAAUAGGAGGACAAUAUGAUUUACUGUUAAGUCAAAAAUCAUUGCUUUUGACUUUCUUAAUAAGAUUGAGAAUUGAGAAUCAUGAGGAGGUGGAAAACGGACUUUCCAGCAACUUUUAUGCAGAAAACAAAGGAGAAGUGAGACAUCAGAUAUGGAAGCUAGCAUUUUUUUGUAGACAAUUCUCUCUAGCUAGCAAAUUUUGCAGGAACACUUGGAGACUUCAUCUUGUAAUCAUCUGGUGCAAGACAUAGUAGAAUUUUGAGGGUUUCACCAUUAACUUGGUUAAGUUUUUUUUUUAUCAUUCUUGUACUUGUAACUCAUGAUGUUUUCCAUUGAUGAAGUUAUGAGUUUGAUCGUCAUAUCAUUCAUGAAUAAUUAAAUUUCUAUAUCUAGGGAGUAGAUGAAAUUUAUGGCAAAAUGAUGAGAAUUGAAUGAGAUUUAUACUUGUAUUAACUUGUCUACUUGUGCAUGUUUGAUUACUUCUUGUUGUUUGAUCACUAAUAGCAGGUUUAUAGUUGUUAUUACUCAAUGAGAAUUGGUAAUAACAUGAGUAGAGCUUGAGUUGUAGGUUCAUGAGAAUAGAAAUAUAUUCAAGUGGAUUAAAUUUACAUUUCAUGAAUGAAGUAAGAACAGAGUUAGUUAUUCAUCAAGAGAUUAGGGAAAAUUAGGCUGUUCUAAACCAUUAUUAUCAUGAGAAUGAAAUUUUGGAAAUGAAUCUCUAGUUAAACAAGAGUAGUAACAAGUGUUAAAUUCAUUCAAUUGGAUCUUUUGUGCCAUAAAUGGAAUCUAUAUCCCUAAAUUCAAGUCUUUAGUGAAUUUUCUCCAUUUGUAACUUGCAUUGAUCUAAUCAAAUUAUAGGAAGUAGCAUUUAUAAUAUUUCUACUCCAAUUUAUUAUUAGUCUAAAUAAUAGAAUAAAUAAAGAUCUAGUAAUUGUUUAACUUGCUUCUCGUGGGAUCGACCUGAUACUUGUCCUAUACUACUUGAUUGACUUGUAUAUUUGUAGACAAACGGUUAUAAAAUCGGAAUUAAACUUGCACUAAUAUCAAAAAAAUCCGUCAAGUACAAAACAGGAAAAGGCUGGCAGAAUCUCAGUAUGCUUCAGCAUCCCGUGACCUAGCUACAUAAGUGGACCAAAAAAAAGGCUGGCGAAUAGCUGUUUAAGCUUCCCUUUUUUUUUGGUGUCGACAAAAAAAGUCAUACUUGGGACGAAACUGAAUGCUUUUACCGCUUGGACUAUCACCAUUUCAGUCAAUCCGGCCAUCAGCUUCUUACAUCAAAAUAAAACAAUAACUACCUCUAGAAAAAAUUGCGGGGGUAAAACAUUGGUUGGUUAGCUAUAGCCAUUGACAUUCCGCCAGAAACAACAAUAUCUGCAAGCAUAAAGGAAGACUUGUUGGCACGCAUUAAUCGAGUCCCAUAAUUCAAGAGAUAGUAAAAGAAGAACUUGUUUCUCAUUAUAUAAGGAUAGCACAACAGCAAGAACCCAGGUAAAGAACUAGAGUCAGUUGAUAUGGAUAUCAAUCCAUACAAGUAAACAAUACGAAUGAUUGGCAGUCUAUAUUCACAUAUGAAAGGAUCUCUUACCAAUUCCUUCUCGGACAGACAAGUUUGGCCGAAGAACUUCAUUGGAGUCGGGCUUUUUUUUUAACUUUUUGCAGGUGGGCUGUCGGGCUGAGUCAGGCUUUUUUUUUAAUAUAACUUUUUGCAAGUGGGCUGCUGGACUCUGUUAGCCUGGCAGCCAAUCAAAAGAGCCUGGCAGACAGUCAUCUUUAAAAAAAAAAAAAAAAAAUUGUGUCAGCUCGACACCAAUAGAUUGAUACCACACUCCUGUCAGAACAAUAAGUGUCCGACUUUUCUUUUUUUUUUUGCCAAUAUUCUAAGUAAUUAGCCAAGGUAAUACGAGGAUUUGUGAAAAAAGAGAGACAAGAGAAAUGGUUUGACUAUGGCUGAGAGCCCUUUUGUUUUUUCAAAAACAUUUAUGGGCUGCCCUUUUUUUUAAUUAUGUGAUGGCGCCUUGUAUUUUUUUUUUUUAAUUUCAUCUAGUUGUGCCUUAUGAGCACGACGAGCAUGGAGGGCGAAAAGUCUCUACUAGAAUCAUAGUUGAUGGAAUUUUUUUUGAAAUACCAGCGUUUGAAUUAGCUAUUUUUUGGGGUAUUUUUGAAAAAUUUUGUUGUAACAGAGUUUUUAGAGUAUAUUUUGAGAUAUUUUUAAAAAAUAUUUUAGAAUAUUUAAGAGUAGAAGAGUUUCUGAAUAUAUUUUGAGAUAUUUUUUAAAAUUUUAGAAAAAUUUAAACUAAUUUUUAGAUUAUCUUUUAGAGUACUUUUUAAAAAUUUUUAUUGUAUUUGAAAAACUAAUUUUUGAAAAACACUCCCGUCCAAACAAAGUCUCAUUUAAUUAUUUUAAAAAGUGCCUGCGGUGUUAGACAUGGUGGUCACAAAAUUGUUUUUAGUGGUAAGGACCAAAAUGUAAAUAAGAGUGAACCUUUUUUGAGCGCGGCCAAGAAGCGCUACCGUGCGACCAAUGGAUACGAUGGGCACUUAUGUACAUUUUGAUCCCUACCGUCUGGCAAGGAACUAAAUACAACGGGCAUGUUUGGGCACUUUUGAAAAAAUAAAUAAAUCAAAUAUCCCUAAACGUGAGCCUUGCAUGUGGGAUUACAAUAAUUCACAUAUAUGUGAGGUGAUGUUGGGAUUUUGGCUAAUUUUUCUAUAUAUUGGCAAACAAAAAAAAGAGUUGAGAUCUAGUUCAUUUUUUUAAAAUAUAAGAUCUGGCUAUGGAAUUUUUUUCAAAUUCCAUAGCAAUUCGUAAAUUAUUUUAAAAAAUAAAAAUAACUUCUUGUAUCUUAUCAGUAUGUCGGUAUUUCUUAUUUGGUUGUUGUGCAUGGUCACCAUGGCAGCCAAGAAUAAUUUAAAAGAAAAAAUAUAGCAGUUGGACUAAUCGUUGAUCAAUGGCUAAAUCAAUUGUUAGUACCAACGGCUAUUAUAUUAUGGGCUUGAGGGCAAUUUUUAUAAAAAUUAUUCUUGGCUGUUGUACUUGUAACAUGGUGACCCAUUAAAAUUAAAAAAAAAAAAGAAAGAAAAGAAAUAGUCUGUCAUAUUGAUAAGGCAUGGAUAAGGCGCGGUGGGGGUAGGGCUAAUUACUCGGAAUAUUGAUGAAAAAAAGAAAAAUCGGACAUAUAUUCGUUUGACAAGUAUCGUAUCUAAAAUUAUUGCUAUCGAGUUGACAUAAUCUGGCAGCAAAAGUGGAUUUUUGUUUUUAAAGGCUGUCGGUCCUGUCAAUUUGGCAGCACUUAAAAAAUUUUAAAAAAAAAAACUUGACUGGCUGUCGGGUUGUGUCAACCUGGCAACCAUUGUUGUCAAUGCUAGCCAUUGCUAUCAAUGCUGUCGGGCGGAAAUAGCCUGGCAGCAUCUGAAAAAAGUUAGAAAAGCUGGUUGUCGGGCUGUGUCAGCCUGACAGCCGGUCAAUUUAUUAAAAAAAAAAAAUUUCUUUCACUACUGCCGAGCUGUCAACCUGGUAGUAGCUACUUGAAAAAAAAAAAGCUGGCAGCUCAAUUAGACGUUAACAGUCGUAGCUACAUAAUUGGACAAAAGAAAAAGGCUCUUUUUUUUUUCUUUCCCCUUUUGUGCUUUUUUAUUUUCUUUGCUUCUUUAUUGUUUCUUUAAUUGUUCCUCUUUCCCACAAAAAUCUUCAUUUUAAGGAUUGAAAUUUAAAAACAGUAAUUGUAGAAAUCUAUCUUUUUCUUAAAUGAUUAAAAAAUUUCAAAUUAUUUUUGUAAAAUACAAUUAUUUAACAUUUCAAUUCUUUUAAUUUUGGUUUUUUCCUCUUUCCUUUCUAGGUUCUCAUUUUAUUCUCAAGAAAAUAUCAUAAAAUGAAAUUAUGAUUGAUUAAUAAUUAUCAAUUGAAAUUUGUGACACGUGGCAUCAUACAAGAGAUCAAAAUUAGUUUUUGAUACAUUUUAAUACUUCACCUAGAAAUGCAAUUACAGCAUCAAGAUUUAUUAAAGCAAUAAUUAUUCUUAUCUUAUGUUAAACUAAAAAAAGGUUUUGUAAACAAAAAAUCUCAUUCAAUUUGCAAUCAGAUGCAAAUCUCAAAUCGUUGCAAAAUAAUCGUUAAAAUUACAAUGUAUAAGAUUUGAUAUUAAUUUUUCGUUAUAAAAUGUAUAGAAAAAUUGGGAAAAUGUAUAAAUUUAUUUUGAAAUAUAAAAACAAAAAAGGCCAAAAAAAAGAAGAAAAAAUUUUUUAAUUAAAAACUUACGCUACCUGACGUAUUAAACCCGACAGUCUUGUAAGUUAAUUAAAUCACGUUUCAAAGUUGAAACGUGAUUUAAUUAACUGACAAGAAAACGUGAUUUAAUUAACUUACAAGACUGUCGGAUUUAGUACGUCAGCUAACAUAACUUUUUAAUUAAAAAAUGAAAAAGAUGAAAACAGAUUUGUUAAAUCAAUAAUUAUUCCUAUAGGAUAUUAAACAAAAAAAAGGUUUUUUAAACAAAAAAUCUCACUCAUUUUACAAUAAGGUGCAGUUCUCAAAUUGUUAAAAAAUUAUUUGUUAAAAUUAUUAUGUAAUUUUUAAUAUACACUAUAAUUUUAUAAAUAUAAAUUUAUUGUGCAAUAUAAAAACCAAAAAAAAGGCAAAAAAAAAAAAGAAAAGAAGCAAAACAUUUCAGUCGUCUCACACGUCCAGGGCAGCUUUUUUUUGGUCCAAUUAUGUAGCUACGGCUGUCAACGUUUAAUUGAGCUGUCAAUCUCUUUUUUUUUGGUCAGGUAGUUACUGUCGGACUGACAAUCCGAUUGCAGUGCAAAAAAUAUAUUUUUUUUUUUAUAAAUUAACUGGCUACCGGGUUGACACAGCUCGACAGCCAGCUUUUCUAACUUUUUUCAGAUGUGCUGGGUUGUUUCAACACGGCAGCCAAUCAAUUUUUUUAAAUUUUUUUUAAGUGCUACGGGACUGAUAGGGUCCGGCAGCUUUUUAAAAAAAAAUUCACUUUUACUGUUGGGCUGUGUCAGUCCGGCAGCAAUAUUUUAAACACGGCACUUGUUAGAUCAAUAUAUGUCCGAUUUUUCUUUUUUUCAUCAAUAUUCCCAAUAAUUAGCUGUACGGUAGGCUAUUUUUACUGAAAAAAUUGAGGCCGUCGACAAGCAUGGCGACCCUUUAUAUUUAUAUAUAUAAAAAAAUUAUCUGUUGCAUAUAUUCAGAUCAACUAUUGUCCAAUUUAUAAAAGAAAGUUUUUGAGGUCAAAUUAUAAUUUUUAAAAAAUUAGGGGUUAAAAUUGAAUAAAAGAUAAAGUUUAGGGAUCAAAUUGUAAUUAAAUAAAGGAUCUAAUUGAAAGAAUUUUAAUAUUUAUAGGAUCAUAGUGAAAUUAUUCAGAAGAUCAGGGAUUAAAUUGUAAUUUCGUAUCAGAUUUCUUAAGGAACUAGGUCUUUGGACCAUUUUUGUUAAUUUCUUGGAACGGAAACAAUCUUGGCUCAACUAAAGUCUAAAGAAAAAAUACGGCCAGUCUAUUCUUUUGAUCAAGCAAAACCAACAAAAAAAAAAAUCAAAUUGGGAUUUAGCCUCCUAAGCCCAUAUCAUAAUUCAAAAAUAAAAUCAAAUUUUUUACCAAAAAUUCAAUCAAAAUAACAUUACCCAAAUCUUAAAUUUUUUUUACUAAAAUCCAACAAAAUAUUAAAUCUUCCAAAAAUUAUUAAGCCUUAAUUUUGUUCUAAAAUCCAAAAAAAAAUGCUUAAAAUAUACAAAAGAGGAUUAAGGCUUGAAAGGGGCAAAAUUGAUUCAAUUUCACAAGUUUUGGGGCCAUAGCGGAUUUAUUUAAAAGGUCAUGGGUCAAAUUAAAAUUUCAAAAAAAAUUCCAUGCAUCUAGUUCGAAGCAUUGCUACAUUUUUGGGUUCAUUCAUCAAAUAAAAAUACUAUCAACAAUUAUCAAAAAUUUGGACCAAAACAAGAUUAUGUAGCCUGGAACUCAAGCAAAACUCAUCACUUGAAUAUCAUAUUUAAUCACAUACAAACAUGAUAGAAAUCCCAAGCCAACAGUUUACAAGAAACAAAAGAAAAAGCAGAGAGCAAAAAUGGGAGAAAUCUGUUACAGAUUCUAGCUUAUACGAAGGGAGAGAGUUUAAAGGGUUACCUUUGAUGUUUUAAAAGGCAAAACAAUGUGUUGCACCAUAAAAGAAGCAGAUCCCAACAUGGGAAAAUCGCAGAUGGAAGCUCAGUUUUUGCUGCGAAAUUUCUUUAAAGACUGACGACACCACGACUUUGGGUCUCAAGUUGAUGGACUUGGAGUUGUUUUUCCUAAAUUGUUUCUGAACUUUCCUGUGAUGGAUUGGAAUGAAAAUUGUUCCAAUUAGGGUUUAAUAAUUUUUGAAAGAUUUAAUGUCUUGUUAGGUUUUAGUAAAAAAAAGUUAAGAUUUGGGUAAUGUUAUUUUGAUUGGAUUAUUGGUAAAAGGUUUGAUUUUAUUUUUGGGCUAUAAUAUGGGCUUGAGAGAAUAAAUUCAAUUUUUUUUGUUGGUUUUGCUUGGUCAAAAGAAUGGACUGACCUAUAUUUUUUCUUUGGAUUUUCGUUGAGCCAAGAUGGUUUCUAGUCCAAGAAAUUAAUAAAAAUGGUUCCUUAAGAAAUCUGAUGCAAAAAUUGUAAUUUAGUCCCUGAUUUUUUGAAUAACUGCACUGUGAUCCUAAAAAUUUUGAAUUUUUUUUAAUUAGGUCCCUAACUUAAUUGCAAUUUGAUCUCUGGAUUUUAUCUUUUAUUAAUUUUGACCCCUAAUUUUUAAAAAUUAUAAUUUGUUCGUUAAAAUUUUCUUAAUUUUUGCAAUUAGGUCCCUGACAGUUUUGAUUUCUUAAACAUAAUUUGUCUAUCUUCUUUAAUUGUUAAUUAUACUUCAUUUAAAUACUUUUAUUUGGUAAAUUUCAUGGUUAUUUCCAUUUUUUUAUAAUAAUAAAGUGAAUUUGCCAUAUGUUUACAUUUUAUUCUCUUUAUUUGUUAAUUAAAUUGGUGUCUUAACUAUUUUGUUGAAUUGGAGUAUAAAUAGGGCAAAUCCAACCUCAUUUAACCACUACUUCAAGGGAAAUAUCUUCUAGUAUCAUUUUAAAUCCUUUUAUGUGCUCCUAUGUGUCUUUUAUGUGUGGUUGCAUGUUUUGAGUGCUUUUUCUUGUAUUUACUCAUUUUUAUUCAUUUUUUAAUUUUCCAUUUAUUAUAUUUAAUUUUUAACAAUUAUUUGGAGGGCAUUUAAAUGUCAAAUUGUAUUAGAUUGGUACUCAAGACAUGUAUUUAGUUAGAUUAUGUAAUAGAUAGUUUUUUUAUUUUUGACAAAAAAUAUAAUUAGUUGGAUGAAUGUAAUAGUUAGGUUAAUAUUUUUCAAAUUUCCCUCUUAGAUUGUAGUUAGGGCAUCGAAUGUAAUAGUUUGGGUCUUUAUGUGCAUUUAUUUGCUUGUGUGUCUGUAUACUUGUGUGCUUAUGCGUUAAUUCAUUUUUUUUAGGGUUUUGUAUCUAAACAUCAUGCUUAUGUGUUUAUGUAUUAUGUGCUAUAUGUGUUUUAUGUGUUUACUUGCUUUAAUUAUGCUUUGUUUAUUUAUAAUAAAUGCAUAACAUCACUACACUAAUCCAAUGCUAAUUAUGCUUUAUAUGUGCUCUAUGUGCAUCUAGUUGUGGAUUAAUCCAAUGCUUAUGUGUUAUGUGCCUAUAUGAUUUACACCAAUUAAAUUUUAAAGAGCCAUUCCGACCUUGCCGAUACCCCCUAGGUCUAGAUUCAUAUUCAUAUAAAAGCAUCCUAAUUUGAUAAGUUUUAUAGGUUAGAUUAGAAAAAUUUUUGACUAAAUCUCACAACUAGUCUUGGCUAGAUUGAAAUGGUGCUUUAGGUUUUAGUCUAUCAAAUCUUUGCUUUCCCUUUUUUCAAUCGUGACUCCCGAACCCCCUUCUCUUGUUUUCAAAGACCUGGAAUCGUAUAAAUGUGCUCUAUGUGCAUCUAGUUGUGGAUUAAUCUAAUGCUUAUGUGUUAUGUGCCUAUAUGAUUUGCACUAAUUAAAUUUUAAAGAGACAUUCCGACCUUGCCGAUACCCCCUAGGUCUAGAUUCAUAUUCAUAUAAAAGCAUCCUAAUUUGAUAAGUUUUAUAGGUUAGAUUAGGAAAAUUUUUGACUAAAUCUCACAACUAGUCUUGGCUAGAUUGAAAGGGUGCUUUAGGUUUGAGUCUAUCAAAUCUUUGCUUUCCCUUUUUUCAAUCGUAACUCCCGAACCCCCUUCUCUUGUUUUUAAAGACUUGGAAUCGUAUAAAAGGAAUUUUAUUUAUUUAUUUAUUUAUUUUAGAUGAUUUGGUACACCUAAACUCAAUAUCAAGUGGCGAUUCAUAUUUGUUCUUAAAAAAAUCCUUUUUAGACUAUUAUUUUGGGGCAAAACUGUCGCAUAUUUUAAGUCCUAUUUUAGGCCUUUCUUCUUUGUUUAUUGUCUAAAAAUCAAAAGACUCUUUUUUUUCAACUUUGAAUUUAUUAUUUUUCAAAAAAGGGGCGCGAGAGUGCCGCCUGGCCAUCAACCUAAUGGCUAAUAGUUACAAUCAUCAGCCUCAAAGCUGAAGGCAAGGUGGCAUGUACCUACCUAGCUGGUCACGGAUCGAAUCUAGCUAGUUAGAUUUCGGUGGGGAGGGAAAUAGAGGAACGGUUAAAAAAAAAAAGACAAAAAAAAAGGCUGUCUUAUGAAAAAUUUCAUGUAUAAAUCCGGUUCAUAUUGAUCAUAUCAUGCAGAGGAGGUGGGUAAGGUGGACCAUGCAUAUUGACCCGGUUUUCAUGUGAUGUGGAUCAUGGGGAUCAUGAUCUAACUCAGAUUCUUCCAAUUUCCUUGUCAAUGGAAAGAGUAUGUUUGACCAGGUAAUGUUUUAGGUUCUCUUUAUUGUGUGGUAGUGCCAAAGUUUCAACUUCAGUAGAGAAGAAAGUUUAUAGCAUGUUUCAUUUUAUGGCUAGGUGUCUAAACAACAAUAGUAGGUUGUUAGUUUUAUGAAAAGUUUGUCCAGCUAUUAACGAGUUUCUUGAGUUCUCAUUAUCUCCAAAUUCAUGCUUGUGAAGUUGGAGGGAAAAACAUAUCAAAGGAGACUGGACUGUAUCACAUAAAAUGUGAGCCCCAUAUUAGGGCACCCACAUGGAACAUUUUUAUGGAUGGUCCUAAACUAAGUCUGGAUUUUGCUUGCAGGCAAGGAGGUAUGGUUCCUUUACAGUUGUCAUCAGAGUAAUUGCACAGUACAAUUGAUGGUUCAGAUCUGGUCACAUCAAGUUGGCCUGUUCUGGACCGUCAAUUGUAUGGUGCGAUUGUUCUGACAACCACAAAUAUACCACUCCUAUAGCUAAAUCCCUCCCAAUAGACACUUAAUGCAGUAGUCAAGUCUGCUAGCUAGGAAUUGCUAGGUUAAUUACGGUGGCUAAUUUCUAUGAAUAUUGCUGGAAAAAAAUGUCGUAAAAAUGGAGGAUUUGGGGGACUUUCCUCCUUUUACUUUUAGGGGUCACCACAUCUUCUGGAUGCAAGGCCAAGAUUUUUUUUUCUUGAAAUGAGUAAACUACCUAUGAAACCCUUAAACUACCUCAAUUGUCUCAAAUUAGUCCUUCAUCUAUUUUAAGUUUCAAAUUGGCCCCUUAACAAUAAAAAGUGUCAAUUUUUAAUCUUUCAAUCUAUUUUCACUGUUGGAUCCAUCCAAUUUUACCCUUAGAUCCAUCAGCUUUACUGGUGGAGCUGGAAUAAAGGAUCAAAAUUUGACACUUUUUAUUGUUGAGGGAUCAAUUUGAGAAUUGAAAUAGAUGAGAGACUAAUUUGAAAUAAUUAAAAUAGGGUCGUCUAAGUUGUUUACCCAAAAAUUUUUCCUAUAAAAAAAACUGGUAUGGCCAUUGCACAAGAGAGAUGUGCUGGCCCUAAAAGGAAAAAAGCUCUCUCAAAUCCCUUUAUUCUUGUGACAUUUUUUUCCAUCAUUAUUUUGAAAAAGUUGCCGACUAUUAAUUCAUCAUGGACUAAUUGGAGAAAUUAUUGUCGUUGAAACAGAUGAGCAUUUUGCGUGGCUCACGCAUGGAAUUUACACACUACCAAUGCGAAUUUCUUGAAAUAAUGUUGAAAAAAAUUAUCACAAGAAUAUGUCAAAUUAGGGGACCAAAAAAUAUAUUUUUUUAAAUAGGGCUGCGGCGCAUGGAAUGUUUGGCGACCAAUUUCACAAAUCCUUUUUGUAAUCUAGUACCUGAGGAUUGGAGUGCAAUUUUUUUUUUUUAAUAAAGGGAAUAGUGCCACACAAUUUCAUAAAUUUUUUUUGUACUCUAGUUCCCGAGGACUGGAGUGCAAUUUUUUUAAUAAAGGCAAUAGAGCCACCAUAUGUGGAUGUGGGCGGUCGUGUUGCUUAACUUUUUUUUUUUUUUUUUUUUUUAGAACUAUGAAAGCCGAAGAUUAAUUCUCUUGAAGAUAAUAGGGGUACUGCACAUGAGAUUUAUAGCAAUAUUGUUGCUUAGUUUUUAUUAAUUUUUUUAGAGUUCUCAAAGUCCCAAUUAAAUUUUUUUUUUUAAGUAAUAGAGCCCCCUCACAUCCCUCUUACAAAAAAAAUAAAUAAAUUUUAAUUGUGACUUUCUUUUUUUAAAAAAAUUAAUCAACAGGGCUACUGCACAUGGAUUACCAAAAAAAAAAUAAUCUUUGGUUUUAGCCAAGGGAUGUGCGGCGGCCUUAUUCCCUCUGUGAAAAAAAAAUUGCAAUCCAGUUGUCGGAAACGAUGAAAACUCAGCUCAUGCGCGGCGGCCCUAAUCCUAAAAAGAAAAUGAAAAUUUUGGUCGCAGCAUCUGAAAUAAGAAAACGCCAAUUCAACUUAUUCUUGCGAUAUAUAUAUUUUUUAACAUUUAUUUCAAGAAAUUUGCCCACUAUCAAGAAAUGCACCCACCCGGUUUGUGGAAUCCACAUUUUAUAUGAAGCAUGGAUCCGGUCGAAAAUUGAUCAACGUGGAAAGUGGACCUGGAUCCCUUAGAAGUUUUUCCUUGUAAAGAAAAUAAUUUUUUUUUUUUUUUAGCAACGACAUUAAACAAUUUGCUGUACAAAUUGGGUUAUGCCUUGCAUCAUCUGGUUUGUGCUGUUUAUUUGCAUUUUCAAAAUUUUGAAUCCACGGUUGGAGUUGAAUUCAAUGAAACGCAACCUGAUGUGGAUCACAAAUUGUCUAGUGCAUUUUUCACAUCUUUAUACGCAUGAAUUAGGAGCUUUUAGCCUGUGUGUGGAUGAUUUUCUUUGCCUCGUGUGGUUCUUGAUUGAUCUAUAAGUGGUAAAAAAACACAUGAAGAAAAAAUGGAGUCUUGCAUUAAAGAAAUGGCACUUUGCAUGUUAUCACACGAGUUAGAGGGUUUUAGAAAAGCGGUUAUGAACUUAUAGGAUCUCGAAUUUCAUGCAACCAUGCAUACGAUUCUAUUUUGGGAAGAAAUAAAAGCAUGCAAAUAUUAUGUGUCGAGAGAAAAAUGGGCAUUUCUUGUUUCAUUCUUCGGUGGUGUUUACUAAUGAAUUUAGCAAUGGCGGCUUAGUCGAAGGAGAAAAAGAAACAAUUUUCAAAAAAUUUUCAACAAGUUGAUAAACGUAAUCAUGCCUUGAAUUCAAGCACUAAGUGACAGGAAGGGGAAAUCACUAUAAUUAAUUGCUAAUUUUGUAAAUCUCCUCUACCUUCAGAUUUGGUGCAUCUGGAGUUAUAGGUGCGACUUAGGAGUAUUUUUCAAUAUCUAAAUUGGAUGAUAUGAGUUCGAUUCGAUUUGGAUCGUUCAUUUUUUAAAAUAAAUUACUCACAUUGAACCGAAUUAAUGUAGUCUAUUUUGGACCAUGAAAAACAUGAUGUGGUUGCACCGGCAACCGUGCCAGCCUCGCAUUCGCCUUCUUGCUUUCUCGUAUCAAACAAGUAUUAACUUACAUAAAGUUUCUUUAUCUUAGGCAUCUGUUUCCCUCGCUGUUUUCCCACCAAAUGCUUUCUGCAGACAUGGUAUAGUAGUGAGUCGGGUGACCGAAGUUAUGACAUGGAGAGGACUGCAAUUAGUGCUGUUAAUCAAGCCGAGUAUUUAACUGUCGAGCUCGACUCAUGCUUAGCUCGAGCUCACUUGACUAAUUGAAUGAGUCUUGAAGUGUACUCGAACUCGGCUUGUCAAUAGGACAUGUGACUCGAGUUCGAACUCGUGCGAAGUAAUUGUAAUAAAAACCUAUAAUUUUCAGUUUCUAUUCUUUUGACUUGUGAAAUGAUAUAUAUGCUUUUCGUUAUCAAGUCCAAGCGAGCUAAUUGAAUAACAAACAAUUUGAGAUUACUCGAUUCGUUAAUUAAUCGAGUAAAUUUCUAACUUGAACUCGACUCGUUUACAAAUUCGAGACUUAUCGAGUCAAGUUCAAUCAAAUUUUCGAGCUGCUUGUUUUGUUUAACGGCACUAACUGCAAUAUUAUCACAUCCUUUUAUAUACGGCUAUAACGAACAAGCUAAAAGAAGUUUACAAACCUAGCUUGUUUCCUACUUACAUUUCGGAUGGAUAUACAAGCCAUCCAUCCUCAGGGAAGUCCUGUUUCUUAUUUCUGUGAGAGAUGAUCAAUCCUACUGGAUAAUACCGCAACUUGUUUCUUAUUUCAGCCAAUGCAUGUUGACAGUUGAGGUUCCCAAAUCUGUGACGCAAUCUGCUCAUACAAUGGCUGUAAAAACUAGAACCGUACGUCGUGUCGAAUCUGCAGUUUUCUCACUCGAGUAAGAACUCAAUCCAUCUCUUUUUUUUUCACUUGGGUCGAGAUUUAUGAUAAACUUUCUUAAACGUUAAUAAUUAAGAAAAUCCUGUAGUAUGAUACAGUUGUAGGUUUAUUUCACAUUUAAGUAUUGUAUAUACAUCAUCUCCAUACUGAGAACCAGUGACAUUACUGGAUAAAAACACGGCAACUCCAAGCCAAAAGUCCAGUCUUGACCUCCCCAUGUGGAUGAAAGAUCACAACAGAAACAAAUAGAAAUUGAAGUGAUGGAUACCUUUCCAUUGGUUCAUUCAGUUUCUGUUUUGUAUGGUUAAACAAGUAAGGGUUCUGGUGAGUCUGUACAAAGAGUAUAAGCUUCACUCUGUUGUAACAUACAAGUUAAAUGGCAUGGCAACAAGACGAAAGGAACUUAGCCUCAGUUACACAAGUUGGCAGUCUCCAAAUUGUUUCUAGUGGUGGGCAAUUUAGUACAAGAUGGGGGGUGGAGGUUAGCAGAAUUAUCCCCUUUGAGCAGCUAUUUCAGAAAAGAUGAAUUUAAAUGUUAAAUCCAUUAUCAAGGAAAACAGUAUUUACAACCAAAAUUGCUAUCAAGCAGCUAUUUCUUGACUGAUAGAUAAAUGCCAGAAGCUAU
rnacentral:lncRNA from 1 species